rnacentral:rRNA from 1 species
AGAGUUUGAUCCUGGCUCAGGACGAACGCUGGCGGCGUGCUUAACACAUGCAAGUCGAACGGUGAUGCCCAGCUUGCUGGGCGGAUCAGUGGCGAACGGGUGAGUAACACGUGAGUAACCUGCCCCAGACUCCGGGAUAAGCCUUGGAAACGAGGUCUAAUACUGGAUACGAGACGCCCCUGCAUGGGGAGUGUCUGGAAAGAUUUAUCGGUCUGGGAUGGACUCGCGGCCUAUCAGCUUGUUGGUGGGGUAAUGGCCUACCAAGGCGACGACGGGUAGCCGGCCUGAGAGGGCGACCGGCCACACUGGGACUGAGACACGGCCCAGACUCCUACGGGAGGCAGCAGUGGGGAAUAUUGCACAAUGGGCGAAAGCCUGAUGCAGCGACGCCGCGUGAGGGAUGAAGGCCUUCGGGUUGUAAACCUCUUUCAGCAGGGAAGAAGCGCAAGUGACGGUACCUGCAGAAGAAGCGCCGGCUAACUACGUGCCAGCAGCCGCGGUAAUACGUAGGGCGCAAGCGUUGUCCGGAAUUAUUGGGCGUAAAGAGCUCGUAGGCGGUUUGUCGCGUCUGGUGUGAAAACUCAAGGCUCAACCUUGAGCUUGCAUCGGGUACGGGCAGACUAGAGUGCGGUAGGGGUGACUGGAAUUCCUGGUGUAGCGGUGGAAUGCGCAGAUAUCAGGAGGAACACCGAUGGCGAAGGCAGGUCACUGGGCCGCAACUGACGCUGAGGAGCGAAAGCAUGGGGAGCGAACAGGAUUAGAUACCCUGGUAGUCCAUGCCGUAAACGUUGGGCACUAGGUGUGGCGCUCCUUCCGAAAGUUCCGUGCCGCAGCAAACGCAUUAAGUGCCCCGCCUGGGGAGUACGGCCGCAAGGCUAAAACUCAAAGGAAUUGACGGGGGCCCGCACAAGCGGCGGAGCAUGCGGAUUAAUUCGAUGCAACGCGAAGAACCUUACCAAGGCUUGACAUACACCGGAAACUUCCAGAGAUGGUUGCCCCGCAAGGUCGGUGUACAGGUGGUGCAUGGUUGUCGUCAGCUCGUGUCGGUGAGAUGUUGGGGUUAAGUCCCCGCAACGAAGCGCAACCCCUCGUCUUAUGUUGCCAGCACGUCAUGGUGGGGGACUCAUAAAAAAACUGCCGGGGGUCAACUCCGGAGGAAGGGUGGGGAUGACGGCCAAAUCAUCAUGCCCCCUUAUGUCUUGGGCUUUCACGCAUGCUACAAAUGGCCCGGUACAAAGGGGCUGGCGAUACCGCGGAGGGGGGAGCGAAUCCCCAAAAAGCCGGUCCUCAGUUUCCGAAUUGGGGGUCUUGCAAAUUCGACCCCCUUGAAGGUCGGGAGUCGCCUAGUAAUUC